GGGCACGUUAACAGACCGCCGAACGGACAGGGUUUUCCCUGUACCGCGGACAGAGUCUCCCCUGUACGUCCAAGGCGUUGCAAUCCAUACAAUGUACGAAGUUCCAACCAGGAACACAUUUCAUUAGAAGAUUGCAUAAGGAAGUAUCGAAAACAUAAAACAACUAAGUUAUUACAGCAUUCAACUUUAGAUGCCUUUUUACAACACAAUUACAUUUUUAAACUUUUACAUUCAACUUCCAAUAAUACAAUCUAGUUAUUACAUCACUUAAUACAAGUUUUGUACUUUGCCUUUAAACCCCUAAGCUAGACCACCAACUCGGGUAUAUCUACCUCUGGUCUCUGGGGUAGGGCGCUAUCUACGGAGCUACGCCCUUACCUUGCACCGCCGCGCC
rnacentral:lncRNA from 1 species